ACGGGUGAGUAGCGCGUGGGAACCUGCCUUGGAGUGGGGGAUAACCGAGGGAAACUUCGGCUAAUACCGCAUACGCCCCGGCGUGAGCCGGGGGAAAGAUUGAUCGCUCCAAGAGGGGCCCGCGUCGGAUUAGGUAGUUGGUGGGGUAACGGCCUACCAAGCCUGUGAUCCGUAGCUGGUCUGAGAGGAUGAUCAGCCACACUGGGACUGAGACACGGCCCAGACCCCUACGGGAGGCAGCAGUGGGGAAUAUUGGACAAUGGGCGCAAGCCUGAUCCAGCAAUGCCGCGUGAGUGAUGAAGGCCUUAGGGUUGUAAAGCUCUUUCGCCCGCGACGAUGAUGACGGUAGCGGGAGAAGAAGCCCCGGCUAACUUCGUGCCAGCAGCCGCGG
rnacentral:rRNA from 1 species